rnacentral:rRNA from 1 species
UGGAGUCUGCAACCCGACUCCACGAAGUUGGAUUCGCUAGUAAUCGCGCAUCAGCCAUGGCGCGGUGAAUACGUUCCCGGGCCUUGUACCACACCGCCCGUCAAGCCAUGGGAGCCGGGGGCGCCUGAAGUCCGGGACCGCGAGGACCGGCCUAGGGCGAAACUGGUAACUGGGGCUAAGUCGUAACAAGGUAAC